UCUGGAUUAGCCUGUCUGCUAGCCUGCUACUCAAACGUAACAGAUAAAAUCGUAAAGGCCAUUUGCCCAAGAACAGAUAACUUCCUGGAAUGCCGGAGGCUGUUGCUCAUGCAAGAUAACAAUGAUUGAGUUUUCACUUCUGUAAACAAGGUAGGUUGCUCCAACCUACCAGGAUGCGCUUGAUAACAGGUCGGUGGGAGGAGCAUAAGCAGGAAGUAUAUCAAGAUGCAUGUUUGCUUCUGAUUAGAUGAAGGAAGGAAGCCUUGUGUGUUUUGUUUUUAUAAGCAUCUGACUAAUGUAAUUUGGAGACAUUCUCUGGGAAUCCCAGGUAUGGAUCUGGCCAGAGUCCGUCAUCCUGGCCAGUAUUCAAUAAAACUUGCUUCAAAUUGGCUCAAAAAUUGUAGUAUUGAUCUUAUUCUUGCAUGGUGAGAUGAACACUUUGAAAACAACUGUGCCAACUGUUUUGAAAUGUACCCUUCAAGAUAGAGGAGAAGUCUGUCUGACUAAGAAAGUGUCUGACUGAAUGCAG
rnacentral:lncRNA from 1 species